AAGUAGGAGCCUUUGAGAAAACAGUAAACUAGCUUCCCAAUGCUAAAGGGGUGAUUCUAUAUAUAUUUUUAAUAAUAUUAGAUACGCAAAGUGAAGUACAAAGUCUUUAAAAUAUUGUGUGAGUGUUUGUGUAUGUGUAUGAAAUCACUCUUUAACUCUCUUAACUUUUUUAAAACUCGUGGUGUACCAAUGUUCAGAUUUGCCAAGCUUUCCCUAAGACACGUAGGAUGAAAUGUUUUUGCGUGUUAAUGCAUGUAUUUGUAAAGACUUGUUUACUGCUGAAAAUCACUGACUCUUGUUUCCAUCCCCAAAGUGUUUGUUCCUUUUGCAUACUGGAAGGUUGGAUUGAGCAUAAGCUUUCUGGCUUUCCUUUCACAAAGGCAGUGUCACCAGUGUGGGCAGUGCCAGCAUUGUGGGAAGCUCAGCAGCUUCAAGUCUGCGACCUGACCAAGUGCUCAGAGUGGGAUGUGGGAGCCAUUAACAGAGCAUUGUAAUUCAGAUGGUUAUUUAAGUAACUUCCAUGUCUGAAAUUUAUUUAUGUUAUCAUUUGUAGCACAAAUACAUGAACUGUCUUCAUUUAGUCCAACAAUUAUUUAUUUUUAGAAAGUAAAUUGAAAGACAAGCUGCAUUCAACUUUUAAAAUAGUGUUCUAAUCACAAGAUGUGAUCAUUUAAAUUGUAAGGUCUCUUUUAACUUCCUGGAAAGUAGAUUGUCAAAAGGAAUCAUGUAAAGAUUAUUUUAAAAUUUUAACUGUAUGUAGUUAGAGUGUAAACCCCAGCUCUGUGGUCUCUAAUCAUAUUUUUUGCACAUUCAUUGUUUCUGUUCUGUAGCUUUUCUUGUAUUCCUUUAAGAUAUUUGGCAUUGUAGGGGUAAGGUGUCUUCCAGUGUUUACUAUGUUAAGCUUAAAUUAAAAUUUAAAUUUAUUGUCCAUUUAUAUAAUAUUUGAUACUUUGGUGUAACUUCUCAAUACAGUUACAAUUUUUAUGACAUUUAUAAUUGCAAUCGUAUUUUCUUUUGUAAUAAAAUCCAAAGUCAAUUAAACAAAUUGUAGACCUGGUAUUUCUCAUCUAUAUGAAGUACAAGUCUCUACCUGAGUCUAUAAUGUGAACCAUCCUGCCUUUCACAUUUGUUUCCUAAUUGUUAGAGAAAACUAUUUUUUGUAGAUGUUAUUGAAAGAGCAAUAAAAGUCUACAUAGCAA
rnacentral:lncRNA from 1 species